UCAGGAUGAACGCUGGCGGCGUGCUUAACACAUGCAAGUCGAACGAUGAUCCCAGCUUGCUGGGGGAUUAGUGGCGAACGGGUGAGUAACACGUGAGUAACCUGCCCUUGACUCUGGGAUAAGCCUGGGAAACUGGGUCUAAUACCGGAUAUGACUCCUCAUCGCAUGGUGGGGGGUGGAAAGCUUUUGUGGUUUUGGAUGGACUCGCGGCCUAUCAGCUUGUUGGUGGGGUAAUGGCCUACCAAGGCGACGACGGGUAGCCGGCCUGAGAGGGUGACCGGCCACACUGGGACUGAGACACGGCCCAGACUCCUACGGGAGGCAGCAGUGGGGAAUAUUGCACAAUGGGCGCAAGCCUGAUGCAGCGACGCCGCGUGAGGGAUGACGGCCUUCGGGUUGUAAACCUCUUUCAGUAGGGAAGAAGCGUAAGUGA
rnacentral:rRNA from 1 species